rnacentral:rRNA from 1 species
UACAGAGGGUGCAAGCGUUAAUCGGAAUUACUGGGCGUAAAGCGUGUGUAGGUGGUUUUCUAAGUCAGGUGUGAAAUCCUCGGGCUCAACCCGAGAACUGCAUUUGAUACUGGAAGACUCGAGUGUGGUAGAGGAUGGUGGAAUUCCCGGUGUAGCGGUGAAAUGCGUAGAUAUCGGGAGGAACAUCAGUGGCGAAGGCGGCCAUCUGGACUAACACUGACACUGAGACACGAAAGCGUGGGGAGCAAACAGG